GGGGACGUUUUGGAUUCGACAGGGAUAGGUCGAGCUUGAGUUGCAAGUCGAGGUGACGGCUCGUAAAACGUCACUCAGUUAAUAAUAACUGGCAAACAAAACGAUUUCGCUGUAGCUGCGUAAGCAGUUCUACAGGAUCCUUCCUGCUAUCGCCCGUGUAGCAGAUAGAAGGGUCUUAAAUGAAGCGGGCUACGCUGAAAUCCACCGUCUGAGGAAUUCAGAAGAGACUAAUCAGACUAGCCACUUGGAAGCCUGUUAGUGGGCCGAAAAGUUGGCGAAUGACAAUACGCUAACUAAGCUUGUAGAAGCUUGAGUGCCGAUAUCUCUGGACGCGGGUUCGAGUCCCGCCGUCUCCAUAC
rnacentral:tmRNA from 1 species